rnacentral:pre_miRNA from 1 species
ACAUCCAACUGAUACCACUGCUCGACAAGAAAUUGAUAAUCAACAUCCAUCCACAUCCAACUAAUACAACUGCUUGACCCACAGUGUUGAUUAUCAAUUUAUGGUCGAGUAGUUGUAUUAGUUGGAUGUGGAUGGAUGUUGAUUAUCAAUUUCUUGUCGAGCAGUGGUAUCAGCUGGAUGU